ensembl:snRNA U2 U2 spliceosomal RNA
AUCGCUUCUCGGCCUUUUGGCUAAGAUCAAGUGUAUUUAACCUUCAAGAGCUGAAGGAACCAAUGACAUAUCAAAUUAUUUCCUGCCCCAUUGGUUGCUACCACUUUCUAAAACAGUGGAGUAAACAUGCUGAAUGUUAAUUCCCAAACUAAUUUCUCAGCUUUUCUAAU